AUUGAACGCUGGCGGCAGGCCUAACACAUGCAAGUCGAGCGGUAACACAGGGAGCUUGCUCCUGGGUGACGAGCGGCGGACGGGUGAGUAAUGUCUGGGAAACUGCCUGAUGGAGGGGGAUAACUACUGGAAACGGUAGCUAAUACCGCAUAACGUCGCAAGACCAAAGAGGGGGACCUUCGGGCCUCUUGCCAUCAGAUGUGCCCAGAUGGGAUUAGCUAGUAGGUGGGGUAAUGGCUCACCUAGGCGACGAUCCCUAGCUGGUCUGAGAGGAUGACCAGCCACACUGGAACUGAGACACGGUCCAGACUCCUACGGGAGGCAGCAGUGGGGAAUAUUGCACAAUGGGCGCAAGCCUGAUGCAGCCAUGCCGCGUGUAUGAAGAAGGCCUUCGGGUUGUAAAGUACUUUCAGCGAGGAGGAAGGCGUUAAGGUUAAUAACCUUGGCGAUUGACGUUACUCGCAGAAGAAGCACCGGCUAACUCCGUGCCAGCCGCCGCCGUAA
rnacentral:rRNA from 1 species